CCAGUCCAAACGAGACCGAUCUAAAAAGACUCAAAAGAGAAAAAAACUUCUAUAACAUAAGGUGUUCUAAUUUUGUCCUCAUUAUGCCUUCUCCUACUGUUUUCAUCCUUUGCUUUCUUCGUGUGGCUGUCUGUUUGGGACUUUGUUUUGGUUUUGAGUAGUGGUUGGAGGGGUUGAUGGUGGAAUAGGGUCAUGUUUGAGGGGUUGGGGGUGAGGGCUGUUUUGGGAAGGGUUGAGGAGGGGAGAGCAGCGGUGAGUGGGGGUUAUAGGUCAGGUCUUAGGGUGGCUUUGGUGAGGGGUGUUAGAGGUGGGCGAAAGGUGAGAGAUGAUAGGUUGAGGGUAGGGUCUUGAAACGUUAGGACCCUUCAGGGGAAAUUUGUAGAGCUAGUGAAGAUUCUUAGGAAGAGGAGGAUUAAUAUAGUGUGUGUUCAGGAGACUAAAUGGGUAGAAUUUAAGGCUAGGAAUGUGGAUGGGUACAAGCUAUAGUACUCUGGGAGUGUGAGGUAUCGGAAUGGAGUGGGCAUCUUAGUGGAUGAGGAGCUUAGAGAUCAGGUAGUAGAGGUUAUGAGGGUCAUUGAUAGGCUAAUAAAGAUUAAGUUGGUCAUCGGGGGUUUUUUGUUGCAUGUGUGUAGUGUGUAUGCGCCGCAAAUAGGUUUGGAAGAAGAGGUGAAAGCAAGAUUUUGGGAGGAGUUGGACAAGGUGGUGAGAAGUGUGCCUAGCUCGGAGAAGGUUGUCAUAGUAGGGGACUUCAAUGGGCACAUUGGGGUCCUUCCGAUAGGCUAUGACGAUGUGUAUGGAGGUUUUGGUUUCGGUGAUAGAAACGGUGAGGGAGCUGCUCUGUUGAGGGCUUUUGGGCUGGUGGUAGUGAACUCAAAUUUUCUAAAAAAGGAGGAGCACUUGAUUAUCUUUUGAAGCGCGAUUGUCAAGACCUAGAUUGACUUUCUUCUGCUUAGGAAGGGGAAUAGGGCGUUAUGUAAGGACUGUAAGGUCAUUCCUAGUGAGCAUUUUUUGACCCAGCAAAGGCUUCUAGUGAUGGACUUGUCUAUAAAGAAGGGUAGAAAGAGAAGGGUCGAGGAGGGUCAACCUAGAAUUAAGUGGAGUGGCUUGAUGAUAGUUAGUGCACUGGAAAUAGGGGAAAAGGUGACGAGUAUGGGGUGUGGGAGUGCAGGGGGACGUGGAUGUUAUGUGGGAUAGGACUGCCAGCUGCAUUACGGAGACUGCUAUAAAAGUGUUGGGUGUUUUGAGAGGUCGGGCAAGCCGUCAUAAAGGGGAUUGGUGGUAGAAUGAAGAAGUGAAGAGGAAAGUGAAGACCAAAAAGGAGACGUAUGUUAGGUUGAGUGGGAGUAAAGACGAAGAGGAGAAGCGGGUGAAUAGGGAGGUUUACAAAGUAGCAAGGAAGGAGGCUAAGUUAGCAGUUAUAGGCGCUAAGUCAGCAGUGUUCGAGAGCUUGUAUGCGGAUUUAGAAGAGAAAGACGGGGAUAAGAGGUUGUUUAGGCUGGCUACGGCUAGAAAGCGGAAGGGUCGUGACCUCGACCAAGUUAAGUGCAUUAAGGGGGAGAAUGGUAGUGUUUUGGUGGAGGAUGCUCACAUUAAGAAGAGAUGGGAGGAGAAAGUUAGCCUUUUAAAUAAGAAGGGGGACAAAGGUUUUGAGUUAGGAGAGCUGGAGCACUCAGAGGAGGAUAGUGAUUUCAGUUAUUGUAGGCAUUUUAAGGUUGAGGAGGUCAGAGAGGUUAUUCGUAGGAUGCGGAGGGGUAGGGCGACAAGGCCUGACGAGAGCACGGUGGAUUUUUGGAAGUAUGCUGGUGGGACUGGUUUAAGGUAGUAGACUGAUUUGUUUAACAACAUUUUCAAGACUGUGAGAAUGCCUGAGGCUUGGCGAUGGAGUACGUUGAUCCCGUUGUAUAAAUACAAGGGUGGCAUUCAGAACUGCAACAACUAUAGGGGUAUUAAACUGUUGAGUCACACUAUGAAGAUUUGGGAGAGAUUGGUUAAGAGGAGAUUAAGGAGGGUCGUAUCCGUAUCGGAAAAUCAGUUUGGUUUUAUGCGUGGCCACUCAACGACAGAGGCAAUUCACCUGGUGAGGAGACUGGUGGAGCAGUAUUGAGAAAGGAAGAGGAAUUUACACAUGGUGUUCAUCGACCUGGAAAAGGCAUAUGAUAAAGUCUCGAGGGAGGUUCUGUGGAGAUACUUGGAGGUGAGAGAGUCUCGGUGGCAUACAUCCAAGCUAUUAAGGAUAUGUACGAUGGAGGGAAGACCCGGGUGAGGACGACGGGAGGAGACUCUGAGCAUUUUUCGGUUGAGACAGGGUUGCAUCAGGGUUCGACCCUUAGUCCCUUUCUUUUUGCAUUGGUGAUAGACGUGUUGACUUGGAGUAUUCAGGGCGAGGUGCCUUGGUGUAUGUUAUUUGCGAAUGAUUUAGUACUGGUUGAUGAGACGCAGGGGGUGUGAAUGACAAAUUGGAGGUUUGGAGGCAAACCCUUGAGCAUAAGGGGUUCAAGUUGAGUAGGUCCAAGAUGGAGUAUUUGGAAUGCAAGUUUAGUGACUUGAGGCAGGAGGAAGAAGUAGUGGUGAGAUUGGGCGCCCAGGAGGUUUGUAAGAGGGAUAGUUUUAAGUAUCUUGGGUCUACGAUUCAGGGAAAUGGGGAGAUUAAUGAGGAUAUUUCUAUGCGUAUUGGAGUAGGUUGGAUGAAGUGGAGGCUCGCCUCAGGAGUUUUGUGUGAUAAGCAGGUGUUUCUUAAGCUUAAAGGAAAAUUUUAUAGAGUGGUAGUCCGUCCGGCCAUAUUGUAUGGAUCGUAGUGUUGGCCAGUCAAGCACUCCCACAUCCAAAAAUUGAAGGUGGCGGAAAUGAGAAUUACCAGAGGGGACAGAGUUAGAAAUGAAUGUAUCAGGGAGAAGGUGGGUAUGGCUUUGGUGGAGGACAAGAUGAGCGAAGGAAUACUGAGAUGGUUUGAGCAUGUGAUGAGGAGGGGCGCAGAUGCCCCAGUGCGUAGGUGUGAGAGGCUAGCUUUGGGUGGCUUCAGAAGGAGUAGAGGUAGGCCAAAGAAAUAUUGGAGGGAGGUGAUUAGGCAUUAUAUGGAGCAGCUUCAGCUUACUGAGGACAUGACCCUAGAUAGGAAAGUGUAGAGGUCGCAGAUAAGGGUAGAAGAUUAGUGUGAGUGUGUGGGGUGUAGCGAGCGGUUAGGUGUGCCCCUGUGUAGCCGGGUUAGUGAUCUUAGAAUUGUGUGCAUAGGUGUCUUUUGUAUGUGUGAGUAUGUUAUAACUAGGUAGGUGUCCUUCGUAUUAUUUCAUACUCCUUAUUUUCUCUCUUUCGUGUUGCCCUUAUUUAUCGUAUGUCAUAUUUUCUCUGUUUUCUAGUGGCAUUAUUUCUUAUCUCUGAUUUUUUGUUUGUGUCACUCAUCUACUUGUUACUAUUCCUUAUCUUGAGCUAGGGGUCUAUCGGAAACAGCCUCUCUACUUCCUCGGAGGUAGCGGUAUGAACUGCGUACAUCUUACCCUCCCCAGACCCCACUUUGUGGGAAUACACUGAUUUUGUUAUUGUUUAUUGUUUAUCUUUCUUCUUCCUGGUCUUCGAGGAUGUCAUCAUUGAGCUUCAAAAAAACCAUGAUCUUUGUCUAUUUUUCUCAAAGUCAUCAAUACUUGUGGUCCUUUAUCGUGGAAAGAGAGCUCUCUUUCAGCUCGCAGAAGUAAGAAUCCAGUAUUUUCGAUUUCUGAGUUUCUCCGAUGAACAUUAACACCGCAGAAGUGGGUAUCCAGUAUAUGUAUUGGAGUUCUUCAAGAACUCUAUAGAGGGUUAGAAUUCAACUUGUCUAUGUUAUAUUCCUCUCUGAAACAAAAGCGGGGUUAAUCAAGUUGCUCUAGACCUCCUUAUUCUGGGACUCUCUGCCGGGUAAAUGCACUCACACCAUAAGGAGGGAUAAAAAAUAUAGUGCAUUUUUUUCACACGUCAUAGAAGAUUAUUGCUGGAUCGGUGAAAUAAUUUGUUGCAGCGGGUUUGAAUCUCCUUAAAGAGAGUGAGAAAUCUGCGUUUAAACCAA